GACGAACGCUGGCGGCGUGCUUAACACAUGCAAGUCGAACGGUGAAGCUCCAGCUUGCUGGAGUGGAUCAGUGGCGAACGGGUGAGUAACACGUGAGCAACCUGCCCCUGACUCUGGAAUAAGCGCUGGAAACGGCGUCUAAUACUGGAUAUGAGAAGGGUCCGCAUGGGCACUUUCUGGAAAGUUUUUCGGUUGGGGAUGGGCUCGCGGCCUAUCAGCUUGUUGGUGAGGUAAUGGCUCACCAAGGCGACGACGGGUAGCCGGCCUGAGAGGGCGACCGGCCACACUGGGACUGAGACACGGCCCAGACUCCUACGGGAGGCAGCAGUGGGGAAUAUUGCACAAUGGGCGAAAGCCUGAUGCAGCGACGCCGCGUGAGGGAUGACGGCCUUCGGGUUGUAAACCUCUUUCAGCAGGGAAGAAGCGAAAGUGACGGUACCUGCAGAAGAAGCACCGGCUAACUACGUG
rnacentral:rRNA from 1 species